rnacentral:rRNA from 1 species
GGGAAUCUACCUUUUGCUACGGAAUAACUCAGGGAAACUUGUGCUAAUACCGUAUGUGCCCUUCGGGGGAAAGAUUUAUCGGCAAAGGAUGAGCCCGCGUUGGAUUAGCUAGUUGGUGGGGUAAAGGCCCACCAAGGCGACGAUCCCUAGCUGGUCUGAGAGGAUGAUCAGCCACACUGGGACUGAGACACGGCCCAGACUCCUACGGGAGGCAGCAGUGGGGAAUAUUGGACAAUGGGCGCAAGCCUGAUCCAGCCAUGCCGCGUGAGUGAUGAAGGCCCUAGGGUUGUAAAGCUCUUUCACCGGUGAAGAUAAUGACGGUAACCGGAGAAGAAGCCCCGGCUAACUUCGUGCCAGCAGCCGCGGUAAUACGAAGGGGGCUAGCGUUGUUCGGAUUUACUGGGCGUAAAGCGCACGUAGGCGGACUUUUAAGUCAGGGGUGAAAUCCCAGAGCUCAACUCUGGAACUGCCUUUGAUACUGGAAGUCUUGAGUAUGGUAGAGGUGAGUGGAAUUCCGAGU